GACGAACGCUGGCGGCGUGCUUAACACAUGCAAGUCGAACGGAAAGGCCCUGCUUUUGUGGGGUGCUCGAGUGGCGAACGGGUGAGUAACACGUGAGUAACCUGCACCUGUCUUUGGGAUAACUUCAGGAAACUGGGGCUAAUACCGGAUAGGAGCUCCUGCUGCAUGGUGGGGGUUGGAAAGUUUCGGCGGUUGGGGAUGGACUGGCGGCUUAUCAGCUUGUUGGUGGGGUAGUGGCUUACCAAGGCUUUGACGGGUAGCCCGCCUGAGAGGGUGACCGGCGACAUUGGGACUGAGAGACGGACCAGACUCCAACGGGAGGCAGCAGUGGGGAAUAUUGCACAAUGGGCGGAAGCCUGAUGCAGCAACGCCGGGUGCGUGAUGACGGCUUUCGGGGUGUAAACCGCUUUCGCCUGUGACGAAGCGUGAGUGACGGUAAUUGGUAAAGAAGCACCGGCUAACUACGUG
rnacentral:rRNA from 1 species